UAGCUCCCUCGCCCACUUAGCCAGCCAGUCCCCCUCCCACCCAUCCAUCCCUCUUCGGGCGCGGGCUGGGAAGAGGGGGCUCUGGACCGGUGGGGAAGGGGAGCUGCUGAGAUGCUGCGCCUGGGCGAGGAGGCUCCAAAGAGAUGGAGGCCCCUUGCCUAGCCAUGUGAACGGGAGUUCUGGCUCCUUCCCGGUGCUGCCUGGCUGCGGGGCUCAAAGGCAGUGCUCUGGCAUGUCACUGAUUGCACAUUACCUGCCCGAGUGUCCCCGCGCCCCAAUAAUUAGAAGGCACUGGAAGAUACUUGCUCCAGGAUGGAGUGGGCGAGGCCGGCGUGAUCGACACAAACGGGAGUGGACUUACCUUCUGGGGCAGCGCUCGGGGAGUGUUGUACGGGGACAGGUGGAUCAAACGUGUGUGUGUGUGUGUGUAAAGAGAGCCUGUUAACACACAGCCGCGUCCAUAGCUAUACAGUCCGUUUAUGACCAUAGAACACCAGCGGGGAUUGUCUCUGCUCACCGCCUUGCGUUCCGGCUAUGCCUGCUCUAUAAACGCUUUAAAGCCCUUAAAACUCCACGUCCUCUUUUGCAACUUUUUUUCAAAAUCCCUCCCUGUAUUUAAUAUGUUUUCAGUCCAUGGUGUGUUGUGUGUUUUGUUUUUUGUUUUGUUUUGUUUUUAAUCUUUUCAGCAAAGCCGUUUGCACCUUUGGGGUUUUUCACAUUUGGUUUGGUUCAUUUCGGCUGUUGUAAACGAGGCACGCCAAUAAAAACCGG
rnacentral:lncRNA from 1 species